rnacentral:lncRNA from 1 species
CUUCUCCUUUUGUGCAUGGAAUGGAUCAUCAGCUAAUUUAUCUUUUCUUAAAUACAUGGUAUCACAUGGAAACAAGCAUUGGAAGGUGAUCACACCGAAUUUGCAAGAUCACUGUUCUUCUAAUUGCAUAAUUUUUUUCUUCUUUCUGGGUUGUAAGCAACUGUGUCUUUUGGAAGAUCAGUAUAUAUAUUAAGGGAUUUAUUUGCAUUCUUGUCCUUACUUAUUAGAGUUCUUUUGUCCGUAAGAGUCUUGAGACUAUAAACCAAACGAAUUAU